AAGUUUCAACAACGCAUCUCUUGGCUCUCGCAUCGAUGAAGAACGCAGCGAAAUGCGAUAAGUAAUGUGAAUUGCAGAAUUCAGUGAAUCAUCGAAUCUUUGAACGCACCUUGCGCUCCUUGGUAUUCCUUGGAGCAUGCCUGUUUGAGUAUCAUG
rnacentral:rRNA from 1 species